CCGGCGGAGGCAGACGGAGCGAAGGGCAGCGGGAGCACUCCGCCGCCGCCUUGAGGGACCGCGCAGGGCCCGGCCGUUUCCCUGCUGGCGAAAGCCGAGACAAAAGGACUUUAAUUGCUUCAAGGCAGUUGGUGCUGAUUUUCUUAUCGGCUCUAGAGAAAAAAAAGCGUUGUCAAAAACGAUUAGGACUUAAGAUUUGGAGUCACUAUGGAAAUUGUCAAAAAUUCCCAUGAAGAAGCCUCAUAAAGAAGCAGAUCUCUCUUCAGGAUAUGUGACAUGGCUGUACAGUGCAAGAAGAGCAAUAAUCCUAAAGACACAGAAGGGAAAAAAAAAAGAUGUUCUUUACUCUGUGCGACGCAUACUUAAAUGCAGUCACUGAGAUACAACAGUCUCAUGUAAUGGAAAGAUACCAUAAUAUUCCUGACGAAGGAUGCUUCUCUGUUUUCUGCACCAAGUUUAAAAACAAUGAAAUGAAUAAAAUGAAUUAAUAUUUUGAAAUAUGAAAUUCAGAAAAUAAUGAGAAGUUGAGGAGACACUUCUUUUUGACUUCAGUAGGUCCUAUUAAACCUAUGUUUGCAGUUUUCCCAUCCAUUUUUUUUUAAUGUAAAAAUAUCAUCUAGCUGCAUGUCCUAAUUGAGAAUAAGUAAGUAUAAGGAGAAAGUUUAGCUUUGCUCUGAAGUGAUUAUACAAAUGCAUGUGAUCCUGUAGGUAUGGUGUUGAUUUUUUUUAUGUUGCCUCUAACAAGUUUAGAAGUCCCACCACCCAACAGUGCGUGAUCUGGCACAUACAUAUGAAAAAGAGACCUUUAUUCUGUGUACUUUCUCUGAUUAUUUGUAACCAAUUCUCUUUUUACUGAUGUUGCAAAUGCAUUAAGUCCUUAAAUGUUUACAAUGAGGUAUUUAGUUUAUCACAUCUUAUCUUCCAUUUAUACCAGUGAAACAGCUUUUUUUUAUUACCGUGACUGAAGGAAACUGCUGUCCUCAGCAUGAAAUACACCAGCACAGUGUGUAAGUUUUUAUUGUUCAACUUUCUAUAUGUGGAAAACAAAGAGUUCAGAAUUUUGCUGGCCAGCUGGGCUGGUUGUUCAAGAGGUGGAGAUUGUGUUACGUAAAUCUGAGUUACGGGUCAUCUCCUCUUUAAUGUCAUACAAUUAAUCAGUACAUUUUAUUCUGUGUUACUGGUAAUAUUAAACAGGAUGUGACCAAAACUAUCUCUUUUUACUAAACGUUGUUGGAGUUAAACUUGCUGCUAAUUCUUCAGCGGUGAUUGCAUGUGGAGACCCUUCUGUAGCCUAUUUCAGCUUAUAUGAUGUGUACCAUAUUGGUAGCUAAAAGAGGUUUUGUUGAGCCUUGAAGAAGUCUUGGCCAAGCUUAUAAUUAUAUCUCUCCAUUAUUAUCACUUUCCUAAUUCUUAGCUAAUCAUGUUUUAGUGUCAACAAUUCUAUUUGCCAAGCCUCCAUACGUAUAAUUAUCCAGGUCAUCUGAUUUGAUUUAUUGAGUUAGUUUUGAAACAUUCAUAUAUAAAACAUGGGCUUGUUUUCAAGGUUUAUUGAAAAUUUUUUAUCAAUAAGUAGGGAUUAGUAAUCUCUACUGAAAUUGUUACGGCAGAUGUGUGUAUUGCUAUGUGGAUUAUUUUUCUGUAAGGCUUUUUGUCUUUUCCUAAAAAGAAAAAAAUAAAACAUUUCUCACAGUA